GUUUGACCUCGGAUCAGGUGG
rnacentral:rRNA from 2 species